GACGUAGGGUGCAAGCGUUGUCCGGAAUUAUUGGGCGUAAAGAGCUCGUAGGCGGUUUGUCGCGUCUGCCGUGAAAGUCCGGGGCUCAACUCCGGAUCUGCGGUGGGUACGGGCAGACUAGAGUGAUGUAGGGGAGACUGGAAUUCCUGGUGUAGCGGUGAAAUGCGCAGAUAUCAGGAGGAACACCGAUGGCGAAGGCAGGUCUCUGGGCAUUAACUGACGCUGAGGAGCGAAAGCAUGGGGAGCGAACAGG
rnacentral:rRNA from 1 species